AUGGGGAAGAAGAACUGCUCGGUGGUGACUGAAUUCAUCUUGUUGGGGAUUCCCCACACAAAGGGGCUGGAGACUCUGCUUUUUGUCUUGUUCUUGCCCUUCUAUGCCUGCACCCUGCUGGGAAAUGUGUCCAUCCUGGUGGCUAUUCUUUCUUCCACUCACCUUCACACACCCGUGUAUUUUUUCCCGGGGAACUUGUCUGUGUUUGACAUGAGUUUCUCUUCUGUGACCCGUCUUAAAAUGCUACUGUACCUCAUGGGACUGAGCCCACUCAUUUCCUAUGAGAACUGUGUCUCCCAGCUCUUCUUCUUCCAUUUCCUUGGCAACACUGAAUGCUUCUUGUACACCGUGAUGGCCUACGACCGCUUCACUGCUAUCUGCUACCCUCUGCGGUACACAGUCAUCAUGAGCCCUAGAAUCUGUGGGGCUCUGGCUGUGGGCACAUGGCUGUUAGGGUGUAUCCAUUCCAGUAUCUUGACUUUGCUCACUUUCACUUUGCCAUACUGUGGUCCUAAUGAAGUGGAUCACUUCUUCUGUGAUAUUCCAGCACUCUUGCCAUUGGCCUGUGCUGAUGUAUCCUUAGCCCAGAGGGUGAGUUUCACCAACGUUGGCCUGGUAUCUCUCCUCUGCUUUCUCCUAACCUCUUAUCCUACACUCGAAUCACCAUCUCCAUCUUGCAUAUUCCUUCAGCUGAGGGCCGCUGCCGGGCCUUCUCCACUUGCAGUGCCCACCUCAUUGCCAUCCUUUGUGCCUACGGGCACAUCAUCACUGUCUACCUGCAGCCCACGCCUAACCCCGUGCUGGGCACUGUGGUUCAAAUUCUGAUGAAUCUGGUAGGACCAAUGCUGAACCCUUUAAUCUAUACUUUGAGGAAUAAAGAAGUUAAAACAGCCCUGAAAAUAAUUUUGCACAGGACAAACCACGUUCCUGAGAGUUAG